rnacentral:misc_RNA from 1 species
GAUGAAGAACGUAGCAAAAUGCGAUAAGUAAUGUGAAUUGCAGAAUUCAGUGAAUCAUCGAAUCUUUGAACGCACAUUGCGCCCGCCAGUAUUCUGGCGGGCAUGCCUGUUCGAGCGUCAUUUCAACCCUCAAGCACAGCUUGGUGUUGGGACUCGCGUUAAUUCGCGUUCCUCAAAUUGAUUGGCGGUCACGUCGAGCUUCCAUAGCGUUGUAGUAAAACCCUCGUUACUGGUAAUCGUCGCGGCCACGCCGUUAAACCCCAACUUCUGAAUGUUGACCUCGGAUCAGGUAGGAAUACCCGCUGAACUUAAGCAUAUCAAUAAGCGGAGGA